UGUACUUUACUUUCAGUUUCAUCUCUGCAGCGUGCUGUGAUCAGCACUGCAGAACCACAUCAAGAGGGGGCAAAGGGGACAAAUUACUAACCCCCCACCCCACUGCUAGUGCCUUUAAUCAAGUCUGCAGCCACUGCUGCAGUGAACAAGAAAUACAGAUUUCCGAAAAGGGGGCGGGGCUAAACGGCACUGUACACACAGUGCCAUGCCAGCCAGCAACAGCAUGGGAGAGAGGAGGGGAGAAGAGCAGCACAGCCUAAACAGCUGUGAAGAGGAGUCAGGCCGCCAUCACUUGGAACAGUCAUCCAGAAGGAUCGGUCAUCGACUAGGAGACAAAAGACCCACAGCAUAGCAAACAGCUUACUGCAUAGUCUCUCUCAAGCCAAAGCCUUAAUUUAUUUUAAAUGAAUCCUGCACAAACCAGCACUUCGUCCAAUUAGAACAUGGACUUUGGAGGAUUGAUACUACAGAAGGGGGAUGUGCUGAGCUUUACAGACGAUCAAGCAUCUGAAAUGUUGUUCACGGAGGAAAAUCCGGAUGAAGGUAUAGAUGUGGAAGAUAUUUACCACCAGCUAUUGAAAUUACAGAAAAAAUAAAUUGACUACUUACUUCA